rnacentral:rRNA from 1 species
CAUGCAGGCGGUUAUACAAGUAGGAUGUGAAAGCCUGGGGCUCAACCUCAGAACUGCAUUCUAAACUGUGUGACUAGAGUAUUGCAGGGGGAGACGGAAUUCCAGGUGUAGCGGUGGAAUGCGUAGAUAUCUGAAAGAACACCAAAGGCGAAGGCAGUCUCCUGGGCAAAUACUGACGCUCAUAUGCGAAAGCGUGGGUAGCAAACA